CUUUGCAAAGCAAGUACAGUCUUUUUAUUGCCUCAUUUAAAGUUGACAAGACUAAAUACAUAAUGCAUUAGAUCUAUGCUAUCUGCAACUAAAGCAAAACAAUAAAUCACUGUAAAACCUGUAAAAUAAUUCACACCUUUAAACAUCUAACUGUUACUACAAAUAAAUGUUAUUGAGAUGGAAAAGUUCUUCAGAUCCACUCUUCGUACUUUAUACAAAACAACUUAUUAACUUGAAACUCAGAUUUUCCCAGUAGUAUCCGUCGCUGUGGCUGUUAGCCAUGCAAAUUUUUCAUCUACAUCAUUUCAUUGAGUUUUAAUUAACACAACAAGGAUUCAGUGUCCUCAAAUGACAUAACUCGGAGCACAAAUUCAACCUCAUUAGCUCUCAGUAUCUUUUCAGCCAAAUGUAAGUGUGGAUCAGUGCACCCAGUUUUAGUUUUAUGUUUCAGAUCAUGUGCCUAAUGAAUUGAUUUGUUGUUCAACCAGCUAUCCCUAAACUGCCCUGCUAGGAUCUCAGGCUAUCCUUGUAGCUACAUUUAUUCUUAUUAUGACUUAGUGAUUAAAAAGUACAUCAUCUUUUUUUAUAAUCUUUCCCAUAUGCCUGGCUGUCUUUUCUGUGAUUCCUAAAAAGCAAAACUCUGAGCCCUUUUUGCUAGGUUGGAAACCAUUUAGUGUUAGACGGUUCCUUACUAAGCUUUCUGACUUUAUUCUCUAACUUUGAUGAUUUUCAGCAGUCUUACUCAGCUCCCUUUACACGAGUCGUUGAAGUGCCACAAAAUAAGUUCUAACACAUUUGCGUCCUUUGCAAAGUGUCAGGCAAGCGUUUCUCCUUCAGCUGCUGUUUGUUCUCUGACAGACAGCUGGAAUUAGGGUGGUUACACAGAAACGCAGCCCAUAUACAAAAUAAAAAUAGCACUGUAUGUGUUUUAGGACUAUAGGACAUUUACAGCCUAUUCAUUCAUAGCAAUAUUCUGUUAAAAGAGAAUUGUUUAUUGUUCAGCAGAGACGUCGGCUUCUGUGUGCAUGGUUUCACUACAAAUGUCAGCGGUUCAUUAAAUGAAGUGCAGGGGAAAAAAAACAUAUUACAUUUGUUCCAUUCGAAUUCUUGGUGCAUUCAAGACUGUGUGCCGAGUGAGACCCUAUACCUGCCUGUGGUACAGUGAUGUCUUUAAGUGAUCUAUAAAAUGUUAUUAUUUAAAACAAGCGCUUUAUGGAUUGCUUACGAGACAUGCUUAGCACGUGAUUGAUCUGACCUUUCACAGACUGUCGUUCUCAGGGAAAACAUCAGCCUUAACCUUUUUUAGCUGGAUUACUCUGCCAGCACUUCUGCAUGUGCAUAUAUGUGUGUACGCACCUGUGUGUGUGUGUGUGUGUGUGUGUGUGUGUGUGUGUGUGUGUGUGUGUGUACAUGGGUUAGCAAUGGAACACAUGUGUUUGUCUGCAUGGUAAAAUUCCAUCCAGCAUUGCCUGUCUCACACGCUUUUAUAAGGUUUGCUUCACCGAGAUGAAAAUAAUACAUUCCUGAUUGAUUGAUCAAUCAUGUCUGAAAGGGUAUUUGCCAAUGUGUGUGUGUGUCAGUGUGUGUGUGUGUGUGUGAGCCAAGGCUACGUAAAGCUUGAUGCAGAAUAGAGAUUGAUGGAGGCUUGCCGUGAGGAGGAUACUCAGUUAUCUCCUUGUAAUUAAAAUCCACCUCAUAAAGAUUAUUGACUCCCUCACCACACAAACCAGCAUGCUGCCUUGCUUGGCAGGGUUUCGCAAAGCGCUUCUUAAAAAAUGAAAAAUAGCAUAUUAAGCAGCACAUAUUUCCCAUUUAUGUGUUACAUUUAGAUGUGGUUAAGUUAUCGUAAUGUGCAAUAAAACCUGGAUGUGAAAUUUGUAAUCCACUUUGGAAAAUUGCUUGCUGUAUUGCUUUAACAUUCCCUGAAAGAGCUUUUGAGAUGUGUGUGCCAGGUUUAUUGUACGCUAUAAUUUAAAAGUCCUCAACGCAGGCAGUAAAUAUAAAUUUAUUAGUGGUGGGUUUAAAAAGCCAGACUGAGGUAGCAUGAAUGACAGGAUGCUUGAGUGUUUACAGUCUGUGUGUGCAUACAGAGUGUGCUUUUGAUAUGUGCCAAAUGAGAAUGUGUUUUCUCCCAAUUUGUAGUUGCCAAGUGGAAAAGAUUACCAUCCCAGUCCACUGUUCUGUGUCAAUUUUAUUUAUUUUUUAAUAAUGAAACUAAAUGAUCAUAAUGUAGUUUUUAUUACCAUCUGACUCUUGGUGAUUGAGGCAUUUGUUUCUUUGCAGCAGAUUCUUUGCACCAGAGCCCGGUGAAAAUGUAUUUGCUUUCUUUCCAGUCCUUGAGUUUGUAAAAGCAGGUGGGGAGCUCCUUCUCUGGGGUCAGCUCCCUUGUGUUUCUCGGGUCAGUUAUCAUGCGGGCCUCAAACGGCUCUGGACCCCCCAGCCUGUUCCGCUGGCAGGCCGUAAGAGCGCCCAAGAAGAGCCAUGUCUUUCCAAAGUGGACUGGAUGGGAAAUCGAAGCAGGGCUUCUGUGUUUAUCAAGCCACAGCUCCGUCACCUUGCUCCUACUCCCAUCUGGAAGCCCGGGCAAAUUGGGAGCAGAGGGAAGAACAGACGAUGUACUCACUCAGAAAUUGAAGCCAGCUUCAGAAGACUUGUCAACAAUCCCGUACCACUAAAACACAGAGAAAGAAAACACAGUGCAAGAAAGAUCUGCCUAACCGUCUCCCCCGUUCCAAAAAUCUGGAAGCGAUAGCAGCACGUUGCAGAGGCACAGGCUCAGGCACAAACCCAGACCUCCUGGAGGAUGUACAAGUCCUGGGGCUCAGAGGAUUGUCUCCAGUCUCUGUUCAAAACUGAAGACUUCGCAGUGGCUUUACAUCAAUGGUGCUCAAUUGUUCUUCUGACUUCGACACUGGAGAACAACUUUUCAGAUGGCCUCCGCCUCACCCCAAGUGAAACCACAAUGUGAAACUCAUCUUUUCAUGUCUCUUGUCUUGUGAAACAUUUAAACUCUGUCCCAAGUGCAGAGAAGUAUGUACCAUUUAUGAAUCAUUUCAGAACAAGUUGUGAAUCUAGAGAUUGUUUUUAACCUAUUUUCUAGUAUUUUUUUAAAAAAAUUCUACAUCUAAUACUUUAAGCACAAACUCUGCUUUCAAACAAAUAGAUAUUUUUGUAUUUUUUCCCAUUAUCAGCUUAUGGUGCUCUAGUUCUCUAAAACAGACUCCAUAUUAACAUUAAUGAAUUGCACUUCAUUCAACAGUGUUUCUGAGCAAAUACGCCACUUUCACAAACCACCUCAGUCAACAACAUGCAUCAAACCUUGACCUCAUCUAAAGUCAAUCGAUUCAUCAGUCGAAGCCAACAUCUCAACAAAAGUUAAGAAGGUUAAAGGUUUUUGUCUUUCUUCCUUGUUUUACUGUGUGUGCUGCAGAGCCACAUUUAUUUUAUUACUUGCAACAUGUUGUUUAUUAAGGACGUGGCAGCAUCUCAGAUCUUGGCCUCUUGCAAGACAUUUCACAGUGGAGCGUAACCAGAGCUGACCGUCUCUGCUGUGUGAGUCAGAUGUGCAGGCUGCUGAGGUUCUUUUGAGGGUGAGGAAAUUGAUUCGUUGCAGAGAUAAUACUAUAUGAUGAGGUUUCCCAAACUAAAUGGGAUCAUUACGGAAAACAAUGCUUUCUUUAGACUCUAGCCUGCUCUGCAUGUCUGCACUGUGUUUCUUUUGAUGUGGCCUUCAUUUUUUGUCAAUAACCAAGAAUACGGUGGAUUGCUUUUUCAGCAUAUUGCUGUUCAGAAAGAAAUGCUGUUUUGUAAAGAUUAAGAAUACCUUGUCGUUUUGUUUGUUUAAAUGUCCACAUUUGACCAAACAUUUUUUUUACACUUUGAAACAGUAUCUUAUUGAAUUUUAUUGCAUAUCCCAUGAGAUCACAUAUCUCUUUUGCAAGGGCGGCCUGGGCCCAAUGGCAACCCAUUGUACAUAUUAGAAACUUUGAAAGAGCUGAAAAUUAUCGAACACCUUGAUUGUCAAAAAUGUAGUAACACUGAGUGGAUUGAAGUCUACACCCUUAAACCCUGCAUGGGUCCAUUCUGGGUGCUAUGAAGACACAGAACAUUUGUGUUAAUUUUGUUCCCAUACAAAUAAUACAUCCAUGUUAUUUAAUCUGAAUACAUUUCAACAACAUUCAUUUUUUGUGUUACAGGAGCACCCAGAGAAAACCUAUAUAAGCACAAGGAGAACAUGCAAACUCCUCACAGAAAGACCCCAGGUUCAAAUUGAGGAUCAAACCCAGAACCGUCUUGUGAGGCAUCAGUGCUAACCACUGAGCCAUUGCUCAGUGGUUAUUGUCUGCUGAGACUCUUAACUGAAAAACACAAUAAAAUAGCAAUCAAUGAAUUAUUUGUAGAAAUCCUUUUGGGAUGUAAUAAUGUUUUUAAUUUGCUGCAUGAUGCCAGGUGAUAAAUUAAAUUAAAAGUGUAAUAAUGAAUUGGGACUGUUCUUAGCAUUAAAAAAGAUACUGAAUAAUGGCUCGAGAGAGUUUAAUAAGUUAAUCGUUAAAAAAAACAAUGUCUUAGACUUGAGUUUUUGCUGUGAGUUCUGAGCCCAACGCUGAGCACAUGCCAACAUUUAGUACUGAUGGCAUUGAGAGAUUUCAUCCCCACCCCGCAUCCACAACAUCCUUUCGACACUCCCUGUGGUUUGUUUCAGUUUGAGUAAGUGUUGGUUGUGUGUAUCACGUCUUUGCCCUGCAAGACUCCUGCCAAUCGAUUCAAGGUGAGACCUGUCGAUUAAACACCCUGAGCCGUGCUCUCUACCUAACCCGAGGGUGAUCCGAUCCCACCCCUCAAGCGCACGCACACACACACCCACUUCACCUGUCAUCCAUCAAUACCUCCAUCAGGGCCUCUAUUGAUCCCCUACGAUCCAACAUUUUUUCCCCCAGUACAACAUUGCAGCUAAGCAACGUCCACACAGGUUUAAUUUUUGGCAGAUUUACGACAAAGCUGAAGUUAUUAUUUAACUCUUCCUGCUGCAGUGCGUUCUUUGAUUUAGCACCCCGGGAGGGGAUGAGUUACAGCUGACACCGGGAAUCUGCCGGGCCUCGAAUGGUAGGCUCCCCUUUCAUAACUCAGCCGCUGAAUGUGUAGUUAGUCAAUCACUUGAUCUGUAAUCACAAAUGCUGCCAGAAAUUACAUGAGUGAUGAGCUGUAAUAAAAGCACUUACUUUUCCUG